rnacentral:rRNA from 2 species
CUGUGACCCCNGGUCAGGCGGGACUACCCGCUGAGUUUAA